rnacentral:rRNA from 1 species
AUUGAACGCUAGCGGGAUGCCUUACACAUGCAAGUCGAACGGAGUGGCGAACGGGUGGGUAAUGUAUCGGAACGUGCCCAGUAGCGGGGGAUAACUACGCGAAAGCGUAGCUAAUACCGCAUACUAUUGGAGCGGCCGAUAUCGGAGUAGCUAGUUGGUGGGGUAACGGCUCACCAAGGCGACGACCCUUAGCUGGUUUGAGAGGAUGACCAGCCACACUGGGACUGAGACGCGGACCAGACUCCGACGGGAGGCAGCAGUGGGGAAUUUUGGACAAUGGGCGAAAGCCUGAUCCAGCCAUCCCGCGAGUGCGAUGAAGGCCUUCGGGUUGUAAAGCACUUUUGGCAGGAAAGCGGUACCUGAAGAAUAAGCACCGGCUAACUACGUGCCAGCAGCCGCGGUAAUUC